GACGAACGCUGGCGGCGUGCUUAACACAUGCAAGUCGAACGGUAAGGCCCUUCGGGGUACACGAGUGGCGAACGGGUGAGUAACGCGUGAGUAACCUGCCCUUCACUCUGGGAUAACAGUUGGAAACGGCUGCUAAUACCGGAUAUUCAGCUCCUGUCGCAUGGUGGGGGUUGGAAAGUUUUGGUGGUGGAGGAUGGGCUCGCGUCCUAUCAGCUUGUUGGUGGGGUGAUGGCCUACCAAGGCGUCGACGGGUAGCCGGCCUGAGAGGGCGACCGGCCACAUUGGGACUGAGAUACGGCCCAAACUCCUACGGGAGGCAGCAGUGGGGAAUAUUGCACAAUGGGCGGAAGCCUGAUGCAGCAACGCCGCGUGCGGGAUGACGGCCUUCGGGUUGUAAACCGCUUCCAGCAGGGACGAAGCGCAAGUGACGGUACUUGCAGAAGAAGCACCGGCUAACUACGUG
rnacentral:rRNA from 1 species